rfam:Picea glauca, whole genome shotgun sequence.
GUUGAGAUGGUUGAGAUGGUCUAAGGUGCUAGAUUAAGGUUUUGGUUUGAAAGGUUGUGGGUUCAAAUCCCAAUAUCAACA